UGGUCCAUCCUAAUCCCUGCCGGUCCAUCUGUGGCCUGCCAGGUUUCGCUUGUGGACCAGAGCACCCUAGAAGCCCCACCUGAGGAGUGAGCAGGGCCCCAGUGGGCUCACGUCAUGGGCGCUUCUAGACACUC
ensembl:snoRNA SNORA52 small nucleolar RNA, H/ACA box 52